CACGUAGGGGACGAGCGUUGUCCGGAUUCAUUGGGCGUAAAGCGUGCGCAGGCGGUGAUGUAAGACAGGUGUGAAAUCCCCGGGCUUAACCUGGGAACUGCAUUUGUGACUGCAUCGCUGGAGUGCGGCAGAGGGGGAUGGAAUUCCGCGUGUAGCAGCGAAAUGCGUAGAUAUGCGGAGGAACACCGAUGGCGAAGGCAAUCCCCUGGGCCUGCACUGACGCUCAUGCACGAAAGCGUGGGGAGCAAACAGG
rnacentral:rRNA from 1 species